AAAGGGUCUGAAAUCAAGAACAUAUUGGUUACUAAGUAUAAAUUUGAAACACGUGUAAAUGAAUAUUUUGUGGCUAUAUGUAUAUAAAUACACAUAUGCACAUUAAAAUCCUGAAAGCCUUGAGGUGCUAACGCCGUCGCAAAUCCUAAAGGGUUCAAACUUUAUAAAAUUACCUGAGCCCGACAUCACUCUUCUUCGCGAAGGCCGCCCCAGCAGAUGGCAUCAGGUGACCCAGAUCCAACAACACUUCUGGAAAAGAUGAAGCUGCCCAUACUUGUCCCUACUGCAAGAAAGGAGCAAGUGGAGCGUCAAUACGAUUUGGAAGCAUAGUUUUCGUGAAAGAGAACAACAUUCCGCCGUCGAGAUGGAGGCUGGAGCGCCUCCAGAAAGUCAUACCCGGUGGGACGGCGUCAUAAGAGUAGCUAUAGUCCGUACAGCUACGGGUCUAAUCAUGAGAGCCGUCGCGAAACCAGCCGCUCUGCCCAUUUCUUUUCUCCCUUCUUUCUUCUCUCACUGAAGCUGUCGCAUUAUCUAUUCAUCUAUCGUAUGCCCAUAGGUAUAUAUGUCUAGGCCAAGCUUUCGCUAAGUCAGUCUGCUUAUCCGAAUAAAACUGAGCAUAAAUAUAUAUUAAUACAA